rnacentral:rRNA from 1 species
GAUGAACGCUGGCGGCGUGCCUAAUACAUGCGAGUCGAGCGAACAGACGAGGAGCUUGCUCCUCUGACGUUAGCGGCGGACGGGUGAGUAACACGUGGAUAACCUACCUAUAAGACUGGGAUAACUUCGGGAAACCGGAGCUAAUACCGGAUAAUAUAUUGAACCGCAUGGUUCAAUAGUGAAAGACGGUUUUGCUGUCACUUAUAGAUGGAUCCGCGCCGCAUUAGCUAGUUGGUAAGGUAACGGCUUACCAAGGCAACGAUGCGUAGCCGACCUGAGAGGGUGAUCGGCCAUACUGGAUCUAAGACACGAACCAUACUCCUACGGGAGGCAGCAGUAUGGAAUCUACCGCAAUGGGCGAAAGCCUGACGGAGAAAAGCCACGUGAGUGAUAAAAGUCUUCGGAUCGUAAAACUCUGUUAUUAGGGAAGAACAAAUGUCUAAGUAACUAUGCACGUCUUGACGGUACCUAAUCAGAAAGCCACGGCUAACUACGUG